AUUAAACGCUGGCGGCAUGCCUUACACAUGCAAGUCGAACGGCAGCACGGGGGCAACCCUGGUGGCGAGUGGCGGACGGGUGAGUAAAGCAUCGGAACGUAUCCUGGAGUGGGGGAUAACGUAGCGAAAGUUACGCUAAUACCGCGUAUUCUGUGAGCAGGAAAGCAGGGGAUCGCAAGACCUUGCGCUCUGGGAGCGGCCGAUGUCGGAUUAGCUAGUUGGUGGGUAAAGGCCUACCAAGGCGACGAUCCGUAGCGGGUCUGAGAGGAUGAUCCGCCACACUGGGACUGAGACACGGCCCAGACUCCUACGGGAGGCAGCAGUGGGGAAUUUUGGACAAUGGGCGCAAGCCUGAUCCAGCCAUGCCGCGUGAGUGAAGAAGGCCUUUGGGUUGUAAAGCUCUUUCGGCGGGGAAGAAAUUGCACGGGUUAAUACCCUGUGUAGAUGACGGUACCCGAAUAAGAAGCACCGGCUAACUACGUGCCAGCAGCCGCGGUAA
rnacentral:rRNA from 1 species